rnacentral:rRNA from 2 species
CGGCGAGUGAAGCGGCAACAGCUCAAAUUUGAAAUCUGGCGUCUUCGGCGUCCGAGUUGUAAUUUGCAGAGGGCGCUUUGGCAUUGGCAGCGGUCCAAGUUCCUUGGAACAGGACGUCACAGAGGGUGAGAAUCCCGUACGUGGUCGCUAGCCUUUACCGUGUAAAGCCCCUUCGACGAGUCGAGUUGUUUGGGAAUGCAGCUCUAAAUGGGAGGUAAAUUUCUUCUAAAGCUAAAUACUGGCCAGAGACCGAUAGCGCACAAGUAGAGUGAUCGAAAGAUGAAAAGCACUUUGGAAAGAGAGUUAAAAAGCACGUGAAAUUGUUGAAAGGGAAGCGCUUGCAGCCAGACUUGCCUGUAGUUGCUCAUCCGGGUUUCUACCCGGUGCACUCUUCUACGGGCAGGCCAGCAUCAGUUUGGGCGGUUGGAUAAAGGUCUCUGUCAUGUACCUCUCUUCGGGGAGAACUUAUAGGGGAGACGACAUGCAACCAGCCUGGACUGAGGUCCGCGCAUCUGCUAGGAUGCUGGCGUAAUGGCUGUAAGCGGCCCGUCUUGAAACACGGACCAAGGAGUCUAACAUCUAUGCGAGUGUUUGGGUGUCAAGCCCGAGCGCGUAAUGAAAGUGAACGGAGGUGGGAACCUUUCGGGGUGCACCAUCGACCGAUCCUGAUGUCUUCGGAUGGAUUUGAGUAAGAGCAUAGCUGUUGGGACCCGAAAGAUGGUGAACUAUGCUUGAAUAGGUGAAGCCAGAGGAAACUCUGGUGGAGGCUCGCA